rnacentral:rRNA from 1 species
AUUGAACGCUGGCGGCAUGCCUUACACAUGCAAGUCGAACGGCAGCGGGGGAGAAGCUUGCUUUUCCUGCCGGCGAGUGGCGAACGGGUGAGUAAUACAUCGGAACGUGCCCUGUAGUGGGGGAUAACUAGUCGAAAGAUUAGCUAAUACCGCAUACGACCUGAGGGUGAAAGUGGGGGACCGCAAGGCCUCAUGCUAUAGGAGCGGCCGAUGUCUGAUUAGCUAGUUGGUGGGGUAAAGACCUACCAAGGCGACGAUCAGUAGCUGGUCUGAGAGGACGAUCAGCCACACUGGGACUGAGACACGGCCCAGACGCCUACGGGAGGCAGCAGUGGGGAAUUUUGGACAAUGGGCGAAAGCCUGAUCCAGCAAUGCCGCGUGUGUGAAGAAGGCCUUCGGGUUGUAAAGCACUUUUGUCCGGAAAGAAAUGGCUCUGGUUAAUACCUGGGGUCGAUGACGGUACCGGAAGAAUAAGGACCGGCUAACUACGUGCCAGCAGCCGCAGUAA